ACAGCAGUCGCCGCGGGAAUACGUAGGUGGCAAGCGUUGUCCGGAAUUAUUGGGCGUAAAGGGCUCGCAGGCGGUUUCUUAAGUCUGAUGUGAAAGCCCCCGGCUCAACCGGGGAGGGUCAUUGGAAACUGGGAAACUUGAGUGCAGAAGAGGAGAGUGGAAUUCCACGUGUAGCGGUGAAAUGCGUAGAGAUGUGGAGGAACACCAGUGGCGAAGGCGACUCUCUGGUCUGUAACUGACGCUGAGGAGCGAAAGCGUGGGGAGCAAACAGGAUUAGAUACCCCCGUAGUCCCUGUCUCUUAUCA
rnacentral:rRNA from 1 species